CCAACGGCCCUCCUUAGGGCCACCAAAAUGCUUUCAGACAAAUGCUAU
rfam:Haemonchus contortus, ISE/inbred ISE, WGS project CAVP01000000 data, contig: Hcontortus_27064